UUUGGGUUUUAUUUAAGUGAUUUCCAUUUUGGGAAGAGAGAGAAAAGUGACAGAUCAAGGAAAAAUCGGGACAAGCCCGAGCUCUCCCUCCCCCUUUCUUUUUCUUUCGCCGCCGGCCUUCUCCCACAAAAUUCAUCGCCGUCCGGCCACCACAGGACGAAUCGUUUGGCAUGGCGUGAUCCUCUCCUCCUUCUCUCCUAGUCAUCUUGUUUUGAUUGGUGGAGGAAGAUUUGAAGCUGUGAACAGUACGUGAACAGUACGUGAACAGUAACUGUCGAAUUCUUGGGUUCUUGUUUGAUUUUUCUGGAUACUCCUACUUGGAUUUGGUUGAUUUUCUUCGGGGUUUAAGGUUCCUAGGGUGUUGUUGAUGAUUUCCAUGAACUCUUGCAGCUCAUUUUGACCCAAGGAAGAAGAAUUGAAGGUGAGGGUGACGAUGAACAGUAACUGGCCGGAUUUCAUGUCUUUGGGUUGAAAUUCCGGCCACUUCCACUUGCUUUUGGUUGUUGUUGCAGGACGUACUGAACCCUCGAGUGAAAAGGAGCCGAGCAGGCAGCUGGAUUAGCUACGAGAUUCACCAAUUUCAGAUUGGCCGAGAUCGCGUCCAGGAACUAGAGGCUUGGAAAUCAGUGCUUCCGUUUUGUUCGUAGGUUAUUACUUAACCUACCUUGUAUGAUAUCGGCUUAGUUAUGUAGAAUUGCUCUGAUAACCCUUUCAAAUUUUGGAGAAUGUUGAUGCUUGAGAAUAUGUUAUCUUAUGGAGGUUAACGUGGAAUUCGUACUUCUGGAAUGUAAUAUAUACGCUUGGAAUUUAAAUGUUAGAAUGUAUCUUUGAGUGUGAGUUAG